rnacentral:lncRNA from 1 species
GCAGGAACCCCUCCAAGAUAUGGAAGAGGUGUUUGUGCCCGCGGGUGCCUUAGAACACCAAAGUUACCUCCUUGGACAGGCCGAAAACCUGCAACAGCACCAUAACCAAGAUCAAGCCGCAGAUCCCUUCCAGGGCCAAAAGAACCAGGUGGUCUAAUCCAUCUGUCAUCAUCAACAAUUCCACUAGCACGGCGAUCUACUCGAGAUCCACUAGAUUGCCUAUCAAAUUUUCUUCCAGGACUAGGGUAUGAAUCAUGAUCAACAGCAUGAGAUGCAUUGACAUUUGAUGCCAUCAAGGCCGCUGCAAUAUCAGAAGCAAUCUCAAAUCCCUGUGGAAGAUCAGUAUAUUGUCCUGCAAACUUAAGAAGAAAAUCUCUGGAAUACUUCUUCUUUAUAUUCCCACUUCCAUCUUCCUCAUGACUUGCUAAUCCCCCAUGAGCCUGUUCGUCAGUGUCUGAAGUUUCCAUGUUUGGUGCAGAUAUGUCAGCAGCAUCUUCCCAAUCAUCGAGUUCAGCUUUACUCUGUGUAAUUUUCUCACUUUCUAUGGCAUCCACCUGAAGGGCCUCAUGAGAUGCCUGUUUCAAAUUAACACCAACAGAACUGAUUUCUGUACUUGCUAAAGGUGCGACAGUCUCUUUCUUUUCCUCAGGACCUUUAUACGCCAUAUAGAGAUCAGAAGUUGUCCCAGCAGCAUCCGCUUUCUGAAGAAUUUCUUUUAGUUUUUUCCUCCCACUAGUUAUAGUACUCUUUGUCCUACUAAGUUGUGGCGCUGGUUUGUCCUUUGAACUAGUUAGCAGAACACCUUCCCCUUCAUAAUUUGAAGUUGACUCCAAGAGGUCAGGAGUUGGGACAGGUGCAGACUGGUGGGAUGAUAUAACAGUUUUAGUAGCAGUCAUCUCAUAGCUAUUAGAGGGACUAGAAGAAGGAUUGGAACCAAAGGUCAUGAGAACAUGAGAACUUUCGACACCAGUAGGGUCAGCAAUUCUAGAGGUAGAGAUAUCCUUACUAUCAGUGGCUUCCGCAUUUUCUACCUUGCCUCCCAAAUCUUCAUUGUGUACCCUCUGCUCAGUUCCUGGGGUACGAACAACAAUGUUGGUAGCUACUACCUUUGAUGCAGAAUCCUGGUCAGAUUUAAGUUCUGUAGAUUUCAAGGGAACCAGUUGAGAAGAUAAGUGCUCUUCAGGAAAAUGUUUUUCCUCUUCAUUAAUUCCACUAAUUUCAGACCUUGGUCGUUCAUCCAGCUUGGAAGAACCAUCAAUCUUAGCAUGCUGAACAAUGUCAAAGCUAUCAACUUUACUGCCAGUACCAGAAACUUCAGAAGAAACAGUGUUUAAGCUUUCUAUCUUGCUCUCUGUCUUCGGGUCUAAGGAAGAAGGCAAAGCAUCAUUAAUGGAUGGUAAUUCCCUGGUAGAUUGUGACAAAACAUCAACAGCUGCUAAUGAUGUUAAAGCUUUUUUAGCCUCUAGAGCUUCAGUAACUGCACCAUCUGAAGAAACACCACAUUCUGCAGGGUUGGUAGCCAAGUUGGAUGUUGAUGUAGACUGUACAGAAAUGUGUCAGACAAUGAAAACUGUAACAUAGUAAGUUCAACAAAAAAAGAGAAAAGGAAGAUACCUGAACUGGUGGCUGAAUUUGUCCUUCCUGACCUGGUUUCUUCUGAUAAUUUUUUAUAGAGUUUGACCUGCUCAAUCCCUCCCUCCUCUUGCCUUCAUUACUGGCAAGAACUAGCGUAGACUCCCUAGACGUGGAAUCUGAAGCAGACGAUACACAACUAGAUGUCUGGCUCUCAUCCAAGUUAGGCACUGGAACUCCACCAGAGUGUUUAGCUGCAGCUGGUAAUGACUCAGAUGUUAAAGAUUCAUUACCAGAUUUUGGCUGUUGUGCAGAGCUCUCCUGGCAAGUAUCCAAGUCCCUUUGAGCCUCAGAUGAACUAACCUCGCUAGCUGGUGUAGAAGGUUUUAGUGCCCCAGCCUUUUCAAUAGAAGGCAAGAUACUAGAAGAAGAGGAAUCUUCAAACUUCUCCCCGGCAGAAACAGAAGCUGGUUUAACUGUCACCUGUGUUAAACCUGAAGUAGUAAAGGGCAUAACAUUUUGUGCAUCACGUACGGGUUCCACAUUUGCUGAUUCUAAACUGCCACGAACAAGAUGAACGGAUUUAUUAACUGCCAAUGAACCAUGGGUAGCUGCUGAAUUCAUGAAAGAAAUGUUUUGAUGACCCUGGCUACCAGGAUAGCUAAAUCUCGGUCCUUGGGCAUUAGGUGCUAUCUGGUUACUAGCCAAUGGCCGUGAACUUGGUGGCGGAUAAAAUCCAGAUUUGGUAUUAUAGGAAUUGGAAUAGUAAUUGAUUGACUGAGAAGGAGCAAAGGAUGGAAUUGGCUGGGAUUGGAUUGGCAUGUUAGGAUGAGGCCUUGGAACUGAAGAACCACCAUCUGCACGUGUAUCUGUUCGUUUAUCAAGCCUUAAUUCUUCAUGAGUAUCGGGGUGAGUAAUCUUGACAGGAGUGGUUUUACGUGGAACACCAAACUUUCCACCUUGCUGUUGAGAAUACUGAGGGGUAAUGCCCAUCCCCAAGUUGCCCAAUUGAGGCGGAAGGUGGCCACCUAUGGAUGGUGUGAAACUCAAGCCCCCACCCUGAUGCAUCAUCCCUUGAGGUGGCAAUGGAAGAGCCUGAAGACCUGCAACAAAGACUUGCUGCUGCACCUGGGGUCCAUUUCCCAUAGCUAAGGAGAUAUGCAUUGGCAUUUGCAUUGAACUGGCAGUAACACUUUGAGACUGAAUCUGUGGAUUAGGCCCACCAUAUUGAAUGGGAACAUGAGGCUGGUGAUGAAAUGGCAUCUGCAUCGAUGUCAUCGGUAUAUUAAGAGGAGACGGCUUCUGUGUCUGGUUUGCAGGGGGUACUGGAGAAGGUUGUGCAUCUUUUUUUAUCUUGGGCACUGGAUAAACCUCCCCAGAACUAGAUUGCUCAGUUGCAACCGAAUCCUUUCUUGCUAGCUGCUGCUUAGGAAUGGGAAUGGGCAAAUUCGGCACACAUUUAAAAGAAGAAUCAUGGCGUGCCUGCAGGAAAAAAAAAUUCAUUUAAAUAUACGUAUAUCCCUAAAAGUCCAAAACUAUAUCAGUUAAAAAGCAUCUAGAGUAUAAACACGAGAGACCAACAACUAAGAGGGGCCCAAACAUGUCUUAUUCGUAUUUUUCUUCAGUUCUAUAGGAUCUGUCUCUUAACAUUCCAAAUGUAACCAAAGUGAGCAGGCGGAAGAGAUCUUUCAAUUUUAUGCGUCAUAACUUGCAUGUUUCUUCAAAGUUAAACUAAAUGAAGGAGAAUCACUCACUAAUUUUAUGAUCCAAUACUCCCUUAUCUUAUAAUUUUUUUUAAAAGCGAAGGCAAAAACCUUAUAUGGUACAGUUUAUGUAAGUGACAAACCUGAUUACGUUUCUGUUCAUCCAAAUUUGGGGGUGCUGAGCUAGUUCGAGCUGGAACCUGAUUCAAAUAAGAACACAUGCUAUUAGAAACAAGUUUUUGAAUGGUGAAAGAUGGAACGCCAAGAUGACAAUAGUAUGAUACCUGCAUUCCGUUCAUGAAACCAGGAGUUAUGGACCCGAACUGUAAAGAGAAUGGUUUGGAUGCAUCUUCUGGUGUUAAUCCAUCAGAAACAACAAAAAGCAUAUAUGUAGUUGCAUCAGCUUAGAGCUAACUAGAAAAACUAUCAAGUAAAAACAGCCAAAACUAUUACCCAAUUGAAGUAAAUUUGAUCCUAUAAGCUUAGUACACAAGCACAAUAUAAACAUACCUUUUUCGCUGGUUGAAGGAAAACUAGUGUCAGAACUUAUGGCGGCAGGUUGAGAAGUUGGAGGGUUUGAAACAGUUCGAGUGCUAUUCUGAAUGGUGUGCGAUUGAACAGGCUGGGCAGCAUUGCCUGCAAUUGAUGCAUCUGAUGCUCCUAUGAGAAAAAUAAAGGCAGAUGCAAAUAACACAAAUUUAAUCAUGUUUCUUCUACUGUAAACCUAUAGAGCUAAGCAAGUUUAAGAAAUUUGAAUCAUACCCAGUAACUGGGGUUGCAAAUGAGCACCAUUUGGUUUGGUGCGGGCAGCAGAAGUACUACUAGACUCGGUAGAACUCACGGCCGGUGAAUUUAACCGGUAUUGCCCUCCUUGUGCAUUGCUAGACUUCUUAAGACUAUCGUACAGAGUACCAACCAGAAAAGAAAAAAAAAAAGGAAAUCAUGAAAUUGCCUAUAAAACCUUAAUCCUAUGAACCCUAAAUAAAGUGGCAAUCAAAACGGAUGAUGACCAGUUGUUGUUACCUUCGAUUAGAAGACAAAGAAGAAGAUGAAGAAGGAGACCGCGAAGGGGCAGGGCCGCCGCCAGCGCCCUUACUGUAAACGCCUGAGGAGGACCGCUGUUGAUUAAAACUGGCUGAUCGCCCGGAUUUUCGGUAUUGUUGUUCGCUUUUAUCGGACCUAGAUUGAUUGAAGGACAUAUCCCACACUUGAUUCCUCCUACUCCCCUCUUUGUUUUUUGUUUACCUUCGUUUUAUCUCUGCAUCCAAACAGAUCGCAAAAUCCAUAUAAUUAAAGAAACAAUCAUGAUAUUCUAACAUAACGGCAAUGAGAUCAAUCAGCGAAAGACAGUACCUGUGAACUCCAAAGAGUUUGCAGAGAGAGAAUUAGGGUUUCUUUUAAUGGCUAGUCAUGUCGAUUACGCAGCAGAAGUAGAAGAAGAAACGAAAAUAAAAUAAAAAUUAAAACUUUAGUUUUUAAAAUAAAUAGAAAGAGAAAGAAAGAUAAGCCAAAUUAAAAAACAAAAUAAAAUAAAAUAGAGAGAGAGUUACUGGUAAGAGUAGUGAAGCGGAAUUUGGUCAAAAAGUCACUUCUAGUUUUUGGAGGUGAAAAACAGAGAACGACUCGUAAUUGCCGCUUUUGAGUUUUAUGUGAAAGAGAUCUCCCAUCUAAUAAUAAUAUAUUUAUUUGCUAAAAAUACAUAGUAAUGCAAAAUUGAUAAUUAAGGUUUAUAUGCACUUAUUAACUGGAUUUUCUUUAUAUCUUCUAUUAAAAUAUUCAUUAAUAUAAUACAAAAAGGCUAAUUAAAUUUUAACUCGAUUGAUAUUAUCAAUAUAAGAAAAUAUAGAUUCGAGUCUAUUGAAAUGUAUUAUCUCCUUUUUAUAGGCCGGGAGAAUAUAUAAUGAGAGGAUCAUAUGGGAGAUUCUUUCCGUCAGAUGUGAGAAUUAAUGUAAAAUACAAAACCUUUUUGCACAGACCAAGUUGGGGUUAAUGGAUAUUAAAUAUCGAUUUGGCCCCUGGACUUAAUUAAUACAACACAUCCUAUUCAAGCUUUACCCCAAAACUGAAUCCACCGCCAUACAACAAGAUCAUCUAACAGCAUGCUACCCCCAAGCCGAAGCUUAUUUGUUGUUGAUUCCCACCACUCCAUAUCAGAUGCAACAAUCUGAUCGUGGACACAUUCAUUUCAACCACUAGCUAUUCAAAUGGAAAGUGGAUUCUCGUAGUCAAUAAGGAAGACAUUCAGCAUCCACAUCCUCUGCAUGUUACUGUAGAAACAAGCAAGCAGCCAGCCAGCCACCAGUAAUUUAUGCAAUGAACCAAAUUUACAUAAGAAUAGCUAUUAUUCAGUUUAAGAAGCAGGUCAAAAAGAUCCCUUUUCUCACUUCCAUUCAAAAUUUAUUGUAUGGAACACCGUGUCUUCCUUCAUAGUUCCUGUACCUCUGUUCUUUACGUCUCCUUUCUCCUUGCGGUGCUUUCAGCUCCACGCAUUUUGUUCCCAGUGCGGUAAAAGUCUCUGAUAGACUUCUGCAAUCAUCUCAACCAUCAGCCACAUCUUUUCCAACUGUUCCUAUUUUUAUAUUCAUCCCUGACAGAUGCGAAGCACUCCCUGUAAUCAUGAGAAUGCUAAAAUGCCACCAGGGAUUACACAAUCAAUUCAAAAGAUUCUGGAUUCAUUUCCUGUUUAUGUCUGCUUCUAGAGAAAUAAUCGUAUGUAAUGUACAUGAGAAAUUCUAGUAGGAGACUUUUCCCCGAUGUUGCUUUAGAAAACUCAAUAUCUUCAUGUAUGUUACGGUAUGCUUGGUCCAUUAUUUUAUAAGAAACCUGGUCAAAUUCAAAGGAAAUCUCACUUAGCUUCUGACACCACAUUAGUGCCCUUCUAGGCAUCCCCUGCUUGCAAAAAUGGGACAACAAUACAUUAGUAGUAAUGACGUUGGGAAUAAAGGCCAUCUUAAGCAAUUUAGCGGUUAUGAUCAUAGCACGAUCCAGUAUGUCUUUACAAACACCAUUUAUCAUUGUGUUGUAUGUCACGGUGUCCGGAACAACACCUGCUGAAAGAAGUUCAUCUAGCAUCAUCACAGCUCUAUUCAUUUUUCGACUACUACAGAAACCAUGAAUCCGUAUAUUAUAGGUUGUGAUGUCUGGUUCCCACCCAUUAGCAUACAUGUUAUUCAUGAACUGAUUGACUUUGACCAUGUCAAAUGCCUCACAAUACCCACCAAUCAAAGUGUUAUAGGUUACAAUAUCUGGGACCAACCCUGCACAAUGCAUGUCCAUAAAUGCAUCAAAUGCUGAUUUCAUUGUGGCGUGUUUACAAAAUCCAUUAAUGAUGAUAUUGAAGGUAAAAAUGUCGGGAACAAGACCAUUUUGCUUCAUCUCUCUUCUCAAUUUCUGCGCUUCAUUUAUCCUUCCAAGGUUACAAAACCCAGCAAUCAAGGAGUUAUAUACAAAAUUAUUUGGCAUUAAUCCUUUGUCUGACAUUUCAAGAAACAAAUCAUAUGCCUCCUCAAUCAGACCAGCUUUGGAAAGUCCAUUGAUAAAGGCUGAGAACGCAACAGCAUCAGGGUAUAUCCCCCUACAUUGCAUUUCAUUCCAAAUAUCUUUAGCCCCAGCUAAAUCUCCCUUCCUGAAGUAACCUUCCAAAAGCACAGUAAAAGCCACUUUAUUGAUGGGCAAACCCUUGUGCAUCAUCUUAUACAAAUGUUCCCUAGCUUCCUCCAGCCUCCCCUUCCUGGAUAAACCCAUUAGCAAAGAACUACAUGUGGACGAUGACGGAGUCAGGCUGAAUUUCAUCAUAAGUUUAAAGACUUUGUAGGCAUCCUCUUCCAAGCCAGCUCUGCUGUAUGCAGCAAUAACAGAGUUAUAAGCAACAACACUUGGUCUCAUCCCUUUCUCCAGCAUAUUUUCUAAAAUUUCCAUGGCUUCAUCCAAACGGCCUGCCCAACAUAACCCUGCAACUGAAAUGUCACACAAUGAAUGAUCUGGAAGCAAAUCCAUUACCAAUAACUCUCUCAGCAACCUAUCUCCAUCCUCUUUCCGUCCAAACUUGAAAUGCCCUGCAACCAAAAUAUUAAAAGUUACAGCAUCGGGAAUUAUACCCUUGGAUCUCAUUUCUUCAUAAAGCAUGUUUGCCUGACCAACAUCUCUUGCCUUAACAUGCCCAUUUAUUAAGGUAUUAUAUAUUGCGACAUUAGGAGAAAGACCAAUCUCUUGAAUCUCAUUAAGAACCUUUCUUGCCUCCACCACAUUACCCUCAGAACACAAGGCAUUAACAAUUAUAUUAAAUGUUAAAAUGCUUGGGGUACAACCCCUCUCUAUCAUCAGUUGGACCCAACCAAGUGCGCUUGAAGUCCAUCCACGGAUGCAAUUGGCAUUUAUUAGAAUAUUAUAUCCACAAACAUCCGGAUUACAUUUAUACUUCCCCAUCACAUUAAGCAAACUCUCCGCAGUCCUUAGAUGACCCUUUCUGCAAAAACCAAGAAUCAUGGCAUUGAAAGUAUAAUUGGAAGGACAAGGUCCUUCACGAAUCAUAUCCCUAAACAUCUUCCACACACUACCAUAAUCACCAACUCUCAGCAAAAACUCAAAAAGGGUUGUCAUUGCAGAAGAACUUGGCACCGCACCCACAUCCCUCAUCCUACACAAAAUGCCUAACGCCCGUGUACCCAUGCCUGCAGUCAAAAAAGCCCGCAUCAACGUAUCAAGAACCGAGAAAUCCGACUCAUAAUCAUAAUGACCUUCCCACAUAAACUCCACCAAAUCCUCACUCCUAGUUUCCCCAAUUCUCCUAAUUACCCAGGAAACAACAUCUUGAGCAAGAUACCGUAGGUUUUGAGAAGCUAAAAUAUGAGCAGCGGUGCAAGAAGAUCUAAUAGCGUCCUCAGAAUCAUCCCUAAAUGCAAACCUAAAGAAUGCAAAUGCAGUCUCUCUGGUUCCUAUAAUAUUCAUGAUUCUGACUAAGAAGCUCGGGCAAAACUUGUCAGAAAAACCGCUCAAUAGAUAUCCAUGUCGCAACUUGAUCAUCUUCGAGAGGCCAACAGUGAUUCUACGGCGUUCAUUCAAAUUAAUGAAGUUUAAAGAACUGGUGACAGCUGCUUUAUUAGAGUUGCAAAAAGGGGAAAACUGAUUCAAGUAAUCGAAGUCUGUUGAAGUUGAUGAAGAAGAAGAAGAAGAAGAAAAUGGCCGAGUCUGGAUACUUGGGGAUUUGUGGAAAUUAAUAAGAUUGAAUAAAAAUAGGGUUCGUAAGGAGUGAGUAAAAUAAACUCGUUGUUUUGGUAAACAAGUGAGAUAGAUAGGGGAGUAAUGCACCUGGAAAGUAAUGCCCAUGUAGCGUACUUUAGCAGGCAUGCAGAGCUGCGCUAAUUUAUAAUGACGAGUUUUCCGGCAAUCGGGCGGCGGAAUCUGUGAUCGGGUGGUUCAGAAAAGGCGGCAACAAUGGGUAAAGAUCCGUUGCCGAAUUCAACUAAGUGGUGUUUCAUUCCCAUCCUUUUUCAAUUAUGUUAGAUGGUAUAAGUGGGCCCUUUUUAGAUCUUGUGCUUGUGGGCUUUAUUCAAUUUAUGAAACUAUAAAUGUUUGUUCUUUCUUUUCUGGACUUGUUUGGUUCUGGGCUUUUCGUGGGGGUCUAUCAUACCUGCCCUUAACAUCUCUUAAAACGAUUUAGGGCCAGUUCUUCAUUGCUUAAAAAAGUAUUUCUGACUCUAAGAGCACUUUUGAAAGAAAAACUGUGAAGAACAAACUGCUUUUGGCUGAAAUUUUUAGCUUUUUAGAAGUGCUUUUAAGGAGUUGAAAAGUAGAAGCUAAAAAUUUUAGUUUUUCCUCUCCCAAAAGCACUUUUGGUGUUUAAUUACUUUUUCACCCCUCCAAUAACAUAGUAUUUUUCUUUUUUUUCUUGGUGUUUAAUUAUAAUUGUGUUAAAAUCAUUAAUUAAAAAUAAAAAAUAUUUUUUAAAAUACUAAUUACAAAUAUUUAAUGGUUAUAUUUAAAUAUUUAAAAUAUAGUUUAUAUAUUCUAAUUAAAUUUUAUAAAUAAUUAAUAUUUAUUGCUUAAAAAUAUUUACAAUUUAUAUUUUAUAUAUUAAAAUAUUAACAACAAGUAAUAAUUUUUUAUAUUAUUACUAAAAUAUAAUAAUAUUAACUAAUUUAAAUAUUAUUUAAAUGCAUAUUUGUUACUUGAUAAUAACAUGUCUAAAAUGGACAUUUUAUUUCUCAAAAGCAUUUUUUGAUAGCAAUGCUAAACACUCAAAUUUUAAACUAAACUUUUCAAAAACACUUCUCAAAAGCACUUUUUCAUAGUACUUUUCAAAAGCACUUUUCAAAAGCAAUGAAGAACUGGCCCUUAAUCCCUAUAAAUUUUGAAAGUGAUUAAUUAAAGAUAAUUCGUCACAAUCUUGAUGUAUUUUUGUUAAUUGUACAAAAUUUCAUGGGUAGAGUAACAAAUUUAGCCCCUAAAGUUAACACAUUUUGUUAAUUUGGUCUUGAUUUAACAAAUUUAGCUUACAACAUUUGCACAUCCCAUCAAUUUUUCCUGAGUUGACAAAUUUGCUUGCAAUAUUUACAUAUCAUGACAACAUUCACAUAGAAUAUAUAAACAUUGAGCGCUUAAUUUCUAAUUAUAACAAUCAAAAUAAUUUACUAUUGAAUGAAAGCAUAAACAUCCUGAUUAAUUGUCUUUAGUUGCUCACUUUCAAAAUUGACAGGGAUUAAAUUGCUCUAAUUUUUGUAGUGGGACCAAUUUGCUCAAUAUCGAAAUUGGUAAUGGCAUGAGAGGUUUUUUUAAUCUUAUUAAUUCAAAUUUGAUUAAAAAUGUAAAGUUGUAAAUUAAACUUGAUGUUUAGUUCAGGUGAUAGAAACUUCAUCUCGAGCUCACAUGUUGGUAAUGUCUUACCUUAACCACUCUUGGUUCAAUAAGGAUUAAUCUCAAAAUUUCAUGUGAUUUGGUAUAUAUGUAAAAUAAACUAGAUCGUAGAAUAAAAUUAAUAUAAAUUGUUGAUACCAAGAAUCAAUAUGAAGGAAAAGCUGGAGAAGGUGAAUGACAAUUCAAACAUGGAAGGCGAAGAGUUGUCGUAGAGAGUCAGUGAAAGAGAAUGUGAAAGAAAUAGCGAGGGGGUUGGUCGAAUGGUUGAGAGAUAGAGAGAGAUGAUUGUGUCCAUCCCACUUGUUCGAAUGAAACAACUUAUAUGUGAGAUGUCUAAGAUGCCAAGUGUAACUGUAACGCUCUGAAUAAUUUAAGUCUGUUUUUGUGAAUUUUGACACAAGUGUGUAUCUGUUUUAGUGGUUGAGUGUUUUGGAUGUGUGUAUGAGGUCUUGGGUUUAAGCCCCACAUUUGGAAAUUUUGUUAUUUUUUACCCUAGCCUUAUCCUUGAUGGGCUGGGUUAUAUUUUAUCUUUAGUAAAUUCAUAUUAGAAUGAGCCUAUUGGUUCGAGUGGUAAAGAGUUAGUUUGUUGGAGGUCUUGUGUUCGAUUCUCUAUGAGAGGGUGGUUGAUAUUUUUUGUCUCGGUUGUGAGAUAGUGGUUGGGUGAAAGUGAAAUUCUGAUAGAGUUCAGAGUUAGUGGAUAGUGGGUGGUUAGGAUAGAUAUUAUUAGAUUUAAUUUUUUUUCAAAAUUUUGGUUUCUCUCUAUCCUUCAAAAUUCCGACGUGAGUUUUCUUCCUCCAUUCUUCCUCUUUCUUUCAUUUUCCCCCUUUUUAAUAUGUUCGUAAUUUUGUUCGUUACUCGCGUUGUAUUUCGGUUUUUAGUACUCUUCGCAUGAUUCAGAUAAAAGCGACUACUUUUGUUUGGAGUAGCAGUUUUGGUAAGCUAUGUUGAUGUUUUCUCUCUGUAGUAGCGUAUUCGAUGUUUUAGGGAAUCUAAUUUCUGUAAUUUUGUGGUGUAGAAGAAGGUUGUGAGCAGUGAAGUCUUAAUCCGACAGCCUAAAUCGAGCUAGUGUUUGUUCGUGUCAUCGGUAAGUUAUGUGCGUUAUUUUUGGGUUAUGUGUCGAUUCAUAAAUUGAUUGCUAAUUGGUCAAUGGGAUGCUAUUUCUUAGGUUUUGAAGGGCUCGGGAUUGUUGUAGCAUCUAAAACGAAUCAGAUGUGUACCCUAAACACGAAAAAUUGAGCUUCGACGAAAGCUGAAAAAGUAUUUUGUCGACGCCACACAGGCGUAUGCCUAGCCGUGUGGUUGGCCGUGUGCAAGACACGGUCGUGUGUUUGACGAAGGCCUGACCAUGCGCAGGAUACGGCCGUGUGAUGGUGUGAGUGUGGCCAUAUAGGCUAGGCCAAGUUGGGUAUGUGGGCCCACACGGGCAUGCCACAUGGGCGUGUGGGUUUAGGCCAAGCUGUGUGGGCCACAUGGGCAAGGCCAAUCUGGGCGUGUGGGCCCAUAAUUUUGUAAUUUUUCCUAGGGUCGCACGGGUCGUUCCGAUCGAUUGUGAAUGUACUAUAUGGUCGGUAAGGGCUAACCAACCCCAAUUUAUGCGAUAUGAUAUUCUAAUAGUCUGCUCUGAGUAGGACACUGAUAUGUAUGUUUGACUGUUCUGUUAAGUAAAUAUAUGUUAUAUGUAUGUGAGCAUUUUAAGCAUGUUAUUUUUGUAUCUGUAUUCUAUAUCUGUGUUUGGGGUGGGACUUAUAUAUGUGGAGGAAGUGAUCUGUAUGGUGACACAUCGCCUAUAUUAUGGCAGCUUGACUGCAUAUUAUCUGUAAUGUGCCUCAUCGACACUAUAUGGUGUGUAGGGAUGGAUGGGUGUUUUCUAACCCCACAUGCUUUGAUAGGAUGGUUGGAGAUGGUGGGUAGAGGAUGGUGGUAGGACUCACUAUAUUUGUUCUAUUUAUCUAAUUUUGUUAUAUGCAUCUGUUAUGGACCUAAGUCCGAAUUUGUAUCUAUCUGUAUACGAGGUUUCUGUGUAUAUUGCAUGUCUAAUUCUGUUGGGUUACACACUAAGUUUACGAAAACUCACAUAUGUUUUUCUGUUCCGUUCAGGUAAUCCACAGACUUAGGCAGAUCGGUGCAGCGGAGUCUCACAGUGACCAUAAGUUUGUGAACUGAAUUUAAAUAAUGGUUUUUAUUUAAUUAAAGAUUAUUUCUGUGAGUUUUGUAAUUAAUGGACUCUCUGGAUUAUUUGGUUUUUAUUUUGGAUUUUGAAUUAUCGUUUUGACUCUUUAUUUGUGAUGGUUGACUAAAAACAUGGUUUUUUCUAAAAUAAAGGUUUUUCUAAAAAUACUAACCAGAUUUUCAAAACAUAACAAUUUCUAGUAAAUUAUGUUUUGGCAAGUGAAUUAAUUAAAUAACGUUUUCAGUAAUAGUUAUAAACAAAUAUAGGUUAUAAAACUUGGAUGUUUUAUCGAACAACUUUACACAGCUUAAUCGAAAUAACACUGUUUUCAAAAUCCUUCUUUGUAACAUCUCCAAAUUUGGCCAUAACAUCUAGGCCGAGUUUGGGGUGUUACAAUAACAUCCACGUUUUGACUCAGAGCUAGGUACAAUGAUGGAUAGGAUUAGAAAAUAGUGAAGAAUUUUUUAAAUAAACUAAAUAGGGAUUUUUAAUAUUAAAUUAAGAAGUAUUUAAACUCGAUAGGAAAUUAGAAAAUACUUCUUAGAUAGAAAAUUUUAAAUAGAAGCAUUGACUAAAUUGAAAAAGUAUAAAAAUUGUUGUGGUGGAAGUAGGAAUUUAGAAAGCUAUGAGAAUUUAUGUAGUAGUGGAAAAUCAAGGAAGGUCUAAUAAGAAAUUUUGCCAAACUAAAAUAUGAUUCAUACAUGGAAUUGUGAAGAUGAUUAAUGGUAAAAUAGUAAUAGUUAAAUAAGAUAUUUUUAAAGUACAAUCAUUAGGGGUCAAAGUGUAAAGAUGAUAGGCCAAAGGACUAGCUAGCAAUUUGAUCAUUUUAAAAUAAAAGUCAUGGAUUUUUCUUAAGAGUUGUGUAGAAAAUUUGAGAAAGGAUGAAAGCCACCAUCCUUACUUGAGAAGCCAACCGUCACUUUCUUUUCUCCAUCAACCAAACUUUUGUUUUUCUUCCAUUUAUGUUUUCUCCACCAUUUUUAGCCAUUCCAAGUUCAUUUUCUUCCACUUAUUCGAUGUUCUCUUGCUACUAACCUUAGAGGAAACUACUGGAGAUCUUAACUUCUUAAAGAGAGCUUCCAGAGCUAUAUAGAGGAAAGAGAAACUUAGGGAUUUAGUGGUGAUAUCAAGUGGUAAGGUAAGACAUGAUGAAAACUUUCAUUACAUAUAUGUUUAUUUCAAUAGAUAGCCUAAAAAGAGUUAUUUGAUUAUAGUUUUCAACAUGGAGAUGUUGUAUUUUUGGAUAUGGGAUUAAAAAAAAAGAAGAUUAAAGAUCAAGUUGAAGGAAAAGGGAAAGAUUUGGCUAAAGAUUAGGAAGGAAGAAGAAUUUAUCAUCCAUUUUGGUUGUAAGUACUUCAAAAAUUCUGUAACACCUCAAACAUGAAUCUGUCGUCGGAUUAGGAUUACAGAACAUUACUUUACAAACGGAACAUUAAAACAUACAUUUCAUACAUCAUAGAAAACAUAUUAUAAAACAUUCAUUCACAUACAUAUCGUCCUUAAAUCGAUCCUUCGAGGCCUUAGAACACCUUAGAAACAAUUCGGGACCAAAUUGGAAACAUUUGGAAAGUUUAAGAAAAAGUUAGAAAAAUUUGACUACAAGAGUCACACGGCCGUGUGGCCAGGCCGUGUAACAAUCAAAUUAGGGACACCUAGCCGUGUCCCAGCCCGUGUGCCAGGCUGUGUCACACGCCCGUGUGCCAGGCUAUGUCACACGCCCGUGUCAGGCCGUGUAACUCUCGAAAUAGCACCACACGCCCGUGUGCUAGGCCGUGUGCUAGGUUGUGUAACUGCCUGACUUGCAUGCAAAGAAACCUAUAGGUUGAGUCACACGCCCGUGUCUCAGGCCGUGUGAACAUGAAAUUUGCCCAACAUUAAGUCAUUUCUACACCAAUUCAUGCAUGACCAUUUGAACAAUUUGUGUACACUAAUAAGGCAUCAAAACAUACCUAAAGAUACAUAUAUUUUCCAUUCCACAAGCAAUUCACACCUAACCAACCUAGUCAUUUAAACAUGCUUCAAUGAACAUAACAAUCAUUCACCAGUAUACAAACAUGCCAUUUUAAUAUAAUAAAAUAAACCAACCAAUGUUUCAUUCAUAGACACCACAAUUAUGUCUAAACAUCAACAACUAAAACAUGUCAACAUUGAUCCAUUCCUUGCAUAGCAACUUAAUUCAAUCAUAUACCAAAACAUACUACAAGUGUUCACUUUCAUACCAUUCUAAUUAUACCAAAAAGAUACCUAUUUACAAGGUUGAUAAAAUACCUAAUAACAUAGUUUAGUAUAGUAUGAAAUUGUACCAAAACAAACUAUUUAGCCACAUCUACAUGCCACUAUCCUAAGAGAUAUAAGAACUACCAACAUUGAUGGAUAGUGUGAGCCAAAAGUUUGAUCCGUCCAAAUGUCAACAACAACCAUCUAAAAACAAUCCAUAAGAACGAAUAAGUUUAUAGAGCUUAGCAAGGACAUAGUAUAUCAUUUAAUCUAACAAUAAUUGAAUACGAUUCAUAUAUUAUUCGAUUCAAGGUUACCGAAGUGUACACAGGGGCAUAAAAGUGCAUUCAGGGGCACAUAUGUGCAAUUCAUACAAUAAUUAACUAUAAGCAUUUAAUCAAUAACUAUAAUGUGAAAAUACAAGUAGAGAUUCAAUUACAUAUUGAAAUACUAUGGACUUACCUUGAUGACUAGAGCGUAGAAAUAUGAUCAAGCUAAUCCGUGAUUUUUGCCUUUCCUCUAUUUAGAUCCGGUUGAGAUUUAUCUCGAUCUAAAUAAAUAAUUAUAUUCAAUUAAGUGUUUCAAUCAAUCUCAAACAUUCAAUUCAAUCCAUAUUUCAUAUUUAUGCAUAAUGACCAUUUUACCCUUAACAUUUUAACUUUUCACAAUUUAGUCUUUAAGUUUAUAACUUAAAAUAUAACCAUUUCAAUCAAAUUCCAUGCUAAUCAAACAUUCAAGGUACCUUUAAAAUACUCAUAUUUAUCACUUUUUCAUAAUAAAACCCUAUAAUUUAUACCUUUAACAAUUUAAUCUUUAAUUCUAAAAUUCAACAAAAAAUCACUUAACAAAACUUGUUUAUUUUUCAACAAGGACUUAUAAUCUAUCAUUAAACAUCAAUAAUCAUACAAAAUCAUUCAUGGAAUAACCUUCAAUCUUUGACAAUUUUACAAAUUGAUCCCCAGGCUAGCUAGAUUAAGCUACAACGAUCCCAAAAAUAUAAAAAUCAUUAAAAACGAGACUCAAAAUCAUACUAUGCAACUGAAUUAACCCUAGCCGAAUUCAAAUCUUCCUCUCCCAUGGAAAUUUCAGUUGAAACAAGAAAUAAAUAAGGAAGAUGACAUCUUUUCUUAGUCUAAUUUUAACUUUAAUUACCAAAUUACCUUUUUACCCUUUAAAAACAUUCAAAAUUUAAAUAAAACCUUGCCAUGAAUAUCCAAUAACUAUAGGAAUGGUCUAAUUAUCAACUAAGUCUAUUCUGUUUAAAUUUUUAUAUUAAUUUAGCCCUUUUAACUAGUGGAACUCUACUUUUACACCUUUUACAAUUUAGUCCUUUUUACUUAAUUAAUCAUGCAAACAUCAAAAUUUCUUAACAAAAUUUUAAUACAACUUUACUAACAUCCCAUAGACAUUCAAAUAAUAAUAAAAUAAUAAUUUACUCGUCAGAUUUGUGGUCCUAAAACCACUGUUCCAAUUUCACUGAAAACAUGUUAUUACAACUCUCCCCCUAAAGGAAUUUUCGUCCUUGAAAAUCUUACUAGAAAAUAGGUUUGGGUAUUGAAAUUUCAUAGCUUCUAGUUCCCAGGUAGCGUCUUCUAUUCCAUGUCGCUGCCAGAGAACUUUAACUAAAGUUAUACUUUUAUUUCCCAAUCCUUUAACUUCCCGAACUAGAAUUAUAAUCGGUUAUUCACCGUACGUCAUAUCAGACUGAAUCUCAACAUCAACUGGGGAUAUUACGUGUGAAGAAUCUAAUCGAUACCAUCAUAAUGGAAGACAUUAUGUAUCUUUUCUAACUCUGACGGCAAAUCCAACCAAUAAGCUACUAGACCAAUCCUCUCAAUAAUCUCGUACAGUUCGAUAAACUGUGGACUAAGCUUUCCUUUUCGACCAUAUUGAAGAACUUUCUUUGUAACACCCCUAACCCGUGUCUGUCGCCGAAUUAGGGUUAAGAGACAUUACUAAUCAAACAUAACUCAAAACAGACAUUCAGUAUAGUUUAAUAAAUUUUAACAGUUACAUAUAAUAAGCUAGGUCAAAUAUUAAAAAUGCAAAAUUUUAAGCUUCUCUUAUGACCAUUUAAAACAAAACAAAAACAUUACAAUCCAACUAAAGCAUAAGAAAAUAAGCCAUUUUCGUAUGAGUAUUAAUUUCAUAUACAAUAUAUCAAAGUACAACUUUCCAAAACAAUUAUCUAGCAUGUACAUGCCAUAGUUAAAAUUUAAACAGUUUAAUACCGAGACAGUAGAUAGAGUGAUGAACUUUCUGACGAUCCCCGAGCUUGAAGCUUGAUUUUUAAUUCUAUAAACCAGAAAGACAUAAACAAAUAAAGUAAGCUUUUAUAGCUUAGUAAGUCUAUAGCAUAACAAAUAUUAUAUAAAUAAUUAUAUAAUUUCCUGGUACACUUAAUGAAUUCACAAAUACUAUAUACAUUAACUUAUUACAUAUAGUCAAAUGCAUACUUAAUAAUCAGCUCUUAAAACCGAAUGUAUAGUCAUUAUAAACAUGAAUAGCUGAAUGCAUAUAUACAUAUAUGCUUAAUAAAUAUUAGCUCCAAAUGUAUAUACACUUUGAACAUGAACCGAAUAUAUAUUUACUAUAAACGUGAAUAGUCGAAUGCAUAUAUACAUAUGCUUAACAAAUAUUACAACCAAUUGUAUAUAUGUAUUUAUCACCUGCAUAUAUCCAAUUACAUAUAUGUACUUAACAUGUACAUAUAACUAAACCUAUACAAAAAUACCUAUUACAUUUCAUAUCUGUGUAUAUAUAUAUAUCAAUCAUAAACUUUUAACCUAACUCAUAUAUAAUGCAUAUAACCGAAUGCAUUCUUAUUCAACAUUUACUUAUAAACAAAUGUUUAUACACACUUAUAUAUAUCCCCAAUUGCGUAUAAGGAUACUCAUCAAUUUAGUAUGCCAAAUGCACACAUAUGUAUAUACUUUUCAACUACAUAUAACAUAUGCAUAUAUAUAUAUUUAUCAACCACCUAUGCCGAAUAUAUGCACAACUUCUUUAAACACUUAAAUCUGAACAUUCACAUAAUUUAAUCAGAUUCACCGGCGCUUAGCCUGCUAGGCUUAAAACCUGAUUCAGUACACCGGCAAUUAGCCUGCUAGACGUAAAGUCUGAAAUAUUUCACCGGCAAUAAGCCUGCUAGACGUAAAGUCUGAAACAUUUCACCAGCAUUAAGCUUGCUAGACGUAAAGUCUGAAACAUUUCACGGGCAUCAAGCCUGCUAGACGUAAAGUCUAUAAAAUCCAUGCAUUAAAAUUUAGCUCAAAAUUCAUAACUUAUAUCUUUGAAACACAUGGAUAUAUAAAUCUCAAUCAUCAAACCUAACUUUAAUAAUUCAAUAAUUCAACCAAACAUAUUUAUAUAUAUAACCUCAUACUUUAGAUUCCACUACUAAUAUCAUAAGAUUUAACUUAUAUUAUACUAUGUACCUUUAACAUUCGGAUUCCACAUAUACCUAUAUAAUUUCAUAUACCAUUUCAAUACAGGAUCUUACACAUGUACAUAUAUACAUAUUCGAAUCUAACAAAUAUAUAUAUUAUUCUAUACUUAUAUUCGAAGCAAGAACUUAUACCUGUAUACUCAUACAUAUUCGAAUUUAACAUAUAUAUAUGUAUAAAUAUAAUUUCAUACUUAUACUCAAUAUAAGUAUUUAUUCAUAAGUAUACAUGCUUAUUCGCUCCAACUUAUACAAUUAUUUUAUACUAAAUUCACACCUUAUUCACAAAUACAUGCAUAUGUUCGAAUAUAUCUCAUACCUAUGUAAUUCCAUACCUAAAUUCAAUACAAAAAAAUUACAUGUAUAUACAUGUAUAUUCAAAUGUAAUUUAUACAUACAUAUAUGUUCAUACCUAAAUUUAUUUUAAGGACACUUAUAUGCAUAUUUGCAUAUUCAUAGUGAUUCGAACCUAACACAUAUAUAUAUACAUAAUUUCAUACUUUCAAUUCGAUUUUUAUACUUUUAAAUUUAACUCAACAAAAAUACAAUUGAUAUACAUACACAUAUACUGAUUUAAUAAAAUUAAAUAGCUAAUAGACUUACCCCGGACAGUGAAAAAUUGAAACCGGACAAUUAGUCGACGACUUUAGCUUUUCCCCGAUCUAACUCUGAUUUCUUUGGUUAUUGAUCUAAACAUAUUCAAAAUGAGCUAGUUUAAAUAUUAUUAUAUUCAAUUUAGUCCAAAAACAAAUAAAUGGGAAAUUACCAUUUUGCCCGUAACAUUUACACUUUUUGCAAUUUAGUCCCUAUUGCAUAAAACACAAAAUACACAAAAUUUGUCCACACUAUACAAGGGCCAAAAUCCCUAGUGCUCAUACAACUCCACAUAUUUCAUUUAUUUCACAUUUUAGUCCAUCAAAAAUUUCUUUUCAUAAUUUAACCCUAAUUACUCAAUUUCACCAAAAAUUCAAAGACAAAACAUAGUAAUCUUUCACCCAUCUUUCAUAUUUCAUCAUCAACUAUAAAAAAGCUCAAACAUUCAUGAAUGGAAUAACUCAAAAUCACCAUCAAAUUCUAAAAUUAAAGCAUGGGUCUUGUAGUACACAAAGCAACGAUCUCAAAAACGUAAAAAUUAUCAAAAACUGAAACCAAACCAUACCUUAAUCUAGCUUUGGAAGUGCCGAACAUUCAAAAAGCCAUGGGUGAGUUCUUCUUUUCCACAUUCGACUUUCAAAGAUGAUAAAAAUAAUCUUUUCUUAACUUAUUUUAACUAAUAUAUAUUAUAAUUACUAAAUGACUAAAUUAACCUUAAAUAAAUAAAUUAUAAAACAUAUAACAUAUGGUUAAACUUGUCAAAUGCCGCCCACUAUAAGCUCUUUUGGUCUUAUUGCUUAUUAAAUCCUCAUACUUUAAAAGACAACAACAUUCAAGUACUUUUAAAAUUUGACCCCUAAAUUUUUAUUUUACGCGAUUAAGACCUUUUUAUCAAAUUGAGCACUCAAACGAUCAAAUUUUUAUACGAAAUUUUCACACAUAGUAAUUCACAUACUGCAAAUCAUAAAAAUAUUUUUAAAAUAUUUUUUUGACUCAGAUUUGUAGUCCUGAAACCACUAUGUCCGGUUAGGGUCAAAAUUUUUUUGUUACAUUCUUCCAAGGGGAUACUUUUAGGAUACUUUGUCACUGACUUAAAAUUCUAUAUAUUUUCUUUUCAAAUCUGCAUAAGAUUUCUAAUGAUCUACAGUUGUGCUCAAAUUAUCACGUAUCACUUUGGUCUUUUCUUCGGUUUCCUGUAUCAAAUCAAAACCAAACAACUUUUUCUUGCUCAGCUCAGUCUAGUAUAAUGGAGUUUGACACUUUCGACCAUACAGAGCUUCGUAUGGUGCCAUUUUAAUGCUCACUUGAUAGCUAUUAUUAUAUGCAAAUUUAACUAACAGUAGAAAUCUCUCUCAAUCACCUUCGAACUAUAAAACAUAAUCGAAGCAUAUCUUUGAGUAUUUGUAUUACUCGCUCAAACUGACCAUCGGUCUGUGGAUGAAAUGUUUUGCUAAAAUGCAGUCGAGUACGUAGGGCUUCAUGUAACUUGCUCUAGAAUCGAGACUUAAAUCAUUGAUCCUUGUUAGAGAUAAUAGAAACUGGCACACUGUAUAGUCUAACAAUCUCAAAAAUAUACAACUCUACCAAUCUCUUGAGUGGAAAAUCCAUAUGCACUGGAAUAAAAUGUGCAGAUUUCUUUAAUCGAUCUACAAUGACCCAUACAACAUCUUUCUUUCUCAAUGAUAGCGGUAAUCCCGAUAAAAAAUCCAUCGUAACACGUUCCCAUUUCCAUUCUGGAAUCAUCACAGGUUGUAACAAACCGGAAGGUACCUGAUGUUUAGCUUUAACCUAUUGACAGAUUAAACAUUUUGAUACGAACUUUGAUAUGUCUCGUUUCAUACCUAGCCACUCGUACAUGUGUUUCAAAUCACCAUACAUUUUAUUACAACUAGCUUUCUGUAAAAUCUUCUGAAUGAGAUCAUAAUGUCUCUCACAAAUUCUAUAUUUGAAGUACAACCUAUCAUCAGAACCAAUAUGAAAAUCUGAAUCAGAUGCCGACUCAACCUGUUUCCGUUUAGGAAUCAAAUUUUCAUCACACUUCUGAGCUUCGCAAAUCUAUUGUAGAAACAUUGGUCUAGCUUUCAAUUCAGCUAAUAUUGAACCAUCAUCAAUCUUUGUCAAUCAUGUGUUCAAUGCUCGUAAAGAAAACAGAGACUUUCUACUCAAAGCAUCAGCAACGACAUUAGCCUUCCACGGAUGAUAAUUAAUGAUCAAGUCAUAAUCUUUCAAUAACUCGAACCAUCUACGCUGUCUCAAAUUAAAAUCUUUCUAUAACAUUAAAUAUUUCAGGCUUUUAUACUCCGUGAAGAUGUAACAUUUUUCUUCGUACAAAUGGUGUUGCCAAAUCUUUAAAGCAAACAUAAUAGCUACAAGCUCUAAAUCAUGAAUCAGAUAAUUUUUUUCGUGCGGCUUCAACUGUCGAAAAGCAUACGCUAUCACUUUGCCCUCUUACAUUAAAACACAAGGCAAACCAUUUAAUGACACAUCACUGUAAAUCACAAAUUCUUUACCAGACUCAGGCUGAACCAACACAAGUGCCUCGAUUAACAAUGCUUUCAACUGAUUAAAACUUUGUUGACAUUUCUUUGACCACACAAACUUAACAUCUUUUUACCACAGUCUCAUCAACGGCAUAUCAAUCAUCAAUAAUCCCUUGGUUAAUCAUCGAUAAUAUCCAGCUAAACCUAGAAAACUUCUAACUUUAGACACAUUUCUCGGAGGUUUCCAGCCAACCGUAGUUGAGAUUUUAUUCAGAUACCGUCUGCUGACACUACAUGUCCCAAAAAUCCAACUUCUCGAAGCUCGAACUCACAUUUGCUAAACUUAGCGAACGAAUGUUUUUUGGGUAAAGUUUGCACAACAAUUCUCAAAUGUUGAGUAUGCUCUGCCUCAUCUCGUGAAUAGGUCAAAAUAUCAUCAAUGUAUACAACAAUAACUCUGUCUAAAUAUCUUAAUAUUCGGUUCAUCAAGUCCAUAAACAUAGUAGGUGCAUUAGUCAAACCAAACAGCAUUACAAGAAACUCAUAAUGUUCGUACCUGGUUCUGAACGCAGUUUUCAGCACAUCAGAGUCUUUAACCCGCAGCUGAUAAUAACCAGAACGAAGAUCAAUAUUUGAGAAUACCGUCGCACCUUUCAACUGUUCAAACAAAUCAUUGAUACAUGGCAAUGGAUACUUGUUCUUGAUCGUGACUUUGUUAAGCUAUCGAUAAUCGAUACAUAGUCACAUUGACCCGUCUUUUUUCUUAACAAACAACACAGGAGCACCCCAAGGAGAAAAGCUCAACCAAGUAAAGCCCCUAUCCGUCAACUCUUGCAACUGUGCUUUCAACUCUUUUAAUUCUGUAGGUGCCAUUCUAUACGGAGCUAUCGAUAUCAGAGAUGUUCUUAGCACUAACUCAAAAGCAAACUCAACCUUUUUGAUCGGCAGUAACCCUGAUAAUUCCUCUGGAAAUGCCUCUGUGAACUUACAUACAAUCGGAACUGAUUCUAAUUUUGAUUUUGAAACCCUGGAAUUAACUAUAUAAGCGAGAUACGCUUCACAGUAUUUUUUAACAUAUUUCUGUGUCGUCACAGUUGAGAUUAUACUAGAUGUACCAUCCAAUCUAUCUGAUUCACUUCAGAUCCAUUUACCGUUCUGACAUUUUAAUACGAUAUGCUUUCAUCUACAAUUGACAAUAACAUCAUGUAGAGUCAACCGGUUCAUACCCAAAAUAAAAUCAAACUCAUCAAAGGGUAAUAACAUCAAACUAGCGGGAAAAUCGUAACCCCUAACUUUCAGUGGACAUAAUCUACAUAUCUGAUUAACUAAAACACACUGACCUAAGGGAUUUGUAACUUUAACAGUAUAUUCAGUAAACUCAACAAGUAAUUUCUUUUUUUCUACUAAUGCAGUGCAUAUAUACGAAUGAGUUGAUCUAGGAUCAAUCAAUGCAUAUACAUUAAUAUCAAAGAGAGAAAAAGUACCCACAAUAACAUCUAGAGCAGUAGCUUCCUCUCGAGCCAGGAUUGCAUAUGCCUUAACUAGUGUUCUUGCUUCAGACUGUUCAUCCAUCUCACUAGUCUUCCCUCGACCGGGAAUAUCAUUCUAGUGUUUCUAGAUCGUCUACAUUUUUGGGAAGUUGUUUCAAAUUUUUUUGAUUGAUUACCAAAUUCAUUUUGCUUUUUCAGACUAUAACGAAAGAAAUGAUUAGUGGAUCCACAACGGAAACAAUCUCUUGACUUUGAUCAAAACUCACCAAAAUAUAUUUUAUUGCAUUCCUCACAGACAAUUAUGUUUCUCUCAACAUUUCUCACACUUCCUACACUAGCCGCUGGAGAAUUUACAAACUGAAAAUUACUUUGCUUUAGUUUCUCUCUACUUGUGAACUCUAAAGGGGUAGCUAAUCGACUUCUAUCAUUUCUAAAUUUCUUUGAUGGAGACGUUUGAGUAGCCUUGAAUGACCCCCUUUUGUUAUAGUCUCGAAAUUUUCAAUCUGAUUGUCGUUUGCUUUUACAAAUUUCUUCAACUUUCUGAGCCCGUUUUGAAAGUUUUACAAAUUCUCGUAACUGCUACCACGAGCAUACGAAUAUCAUCAUUCAACCCGUCCUCAAAUCUAAGACACAAUUCCUCUUCAUUUGAUACUAUGUUAUGGGCGUACUUGCUCAACUGCACAGAUUCCCGUUCAUAUUUAUCUACAAUCCGAUUUCUUCAUUUUAACUCGUGAAACUCUUUCUUUUUCCUGUCAAUAAACAACCAACUAACAUAUUUCUUCUCGAUUUCAGUCUAAAAGAAGUCUCAAUUAAUGCGAUCAUUCGAUGUCAUCGUGUUCAAAUUGUCCCACAAGAAAUACACUUCAUUAGCCAGUACUCGACUUUUGAAGGUUCAUCAUCCACCUUACCUCUAAAUUCAUUUGCUACAUAUUUUCGAAUUUUAUCCACUGAUACUCAGGUAACCAUCACAGGCACAGGGUUUGGAGCAUUUAGCGUGCCGAAUGAGGCACAGUAGGGGAUAGAGGUGGCAGAGUUGCAAGAUUUGAUUGCUUGAACUCAUUGAACCACUGGUUCAUCAUUCUGAGGAAUACAUUUUUCAUCUCAUCAAAGAACUAUUUUGGAAUAGAUGCACUAUUAGUUGCUUCAGGAUUUGAAGCUUCAACAUUACUUUUAGUUUCAUUAACUACAGCUCGAUUCGAUUCUGCUGGCAUCUUGAAUCUAUACGAAAAUACAAUAUUAGAACAAAUUAAAAGCAUCACACUAUAACGGGGUACAUGUGGCAUGUAUACACUAAACACUACAUCGCUAUGUUAGUCCUAGAAUCAACUAAACUGUACAUUUGAUACCACUAAAUGUAACACCCUUAACCACAUCCUUCACUAAACCAAGGUUAUAGGAUGUUACCGGAGUUUAUAAAAUAAUUGCACAUAAUUCCACUAUUUACUUUGUUCAUAUCAAAGCAGUUCACGCGAGUCAUAGUCAUUAAAUUAUUUAUAUCUUGAGAUAUGGAACUUUGAAUUAAGCUCUGCUAAAUUUUUCUAAAACUAGACUCAAAUAUCUUCCUACCAUAAAAUUUUUAUAAUUUAUGGUUUACCCAAUAAGUACAAUUUAUUCUUUAAAGUCAUCCUUGUUCUGCUAUCUAAUAGUUUCGACCUUUCUUCACUAAAAAAUAAUUAUCUCUUCGUAUGGGAUCCGGAUGAUGUUCCCAUUUAUUUCUAUUGAAAAUAGACUCAUUAGUAAUUUUAAACAUAUAGACUUUAACCUUAAUUAUUUUUAUACAAUUUUUAAUGAUUUUCCAAAUUCAGAAUAGGGGAUUCCAAAAUCACUCUGACGCCGUCUCAUAAAAAUUCAAAUAUCUCAUAAUAUGAAAUUCUCUUGCUUACACCAUUUCUUCUAUGUAAAACUACACUCAAUAAGAUUUAAUUUCAUAUCUUAUUCAACCUCUAAUUCAACAUUCAUAAUUUUUGGUGAUUUUUCAAAGUCAAGCUACUGCUGCUGUCUAAAACUAUUUUAGUAAAAAAAAUGUUAAUAAGCAAGUUUAUAAAACCUUCAAUUCCUGUCAAUUAAACCUUAUACAUGCAACAUAAACCUUAUGAUGCACAAUAAAAUUUAUUGAAGUAAUCUAGAUAGUGUGCCCUGAUGUGUUGGUCCGAUCCACCGAUUUCACAUCAAUCUACAAAGAACAUUAAACACACAGGAGUAAGCUUACAGAAAGCUUAGUAAGUUCAUAGGCCCAUAAGAAAAUCUUAUCAAGAUUUCACUAACAAUAUUAAUAAACAAGUAUAAUUCAACAUUUCUUGCCAACCACAAUCUCAAACAAUGAAUUUACUCAAUCGAGCUCAAUAUUAGAUAUCAACUUAUUUCCAACAUUUAGCUUCAAUUGAACUUACAAAUACUUGUCAAAUUGAGGAUCGUCUUACGGAUUUGAGUACAUCGUUUGCCCGGUGCCACGAUUUGCUUGAAUCUUUUACAAUGCUAUAACUCAGUAUGGUUUUCUUCACCGAAAUACCAUACCUACUUUUCACAACUCAGUAUGGUUUUCGUUACUAAAAUACCAUACCUACUUCUCACAACUCAGUAUGGUUUUCUUUACUGAAAUACCAUACCUACUUUUCACAACUCAGCAUGGGUUUCUUUACUAAAAUAUCAUACCUAUGUUCCACACUUUUCCAUGGAUCCACCAUGGACUCAUUCGUCAAUUCAUCACUGGCUACUGAACGUAUGUACUCAAUCCUACAUAUCCCUUAAUUUGAACUUACAAUCUCAUUUUUUUCUCAUUUUUACAAUAAUCAUAGUUCAACAAGAAUAUAUGAAUUAAUACAUUAUAUCAUUCCCACAUUAACAAUUAAUCAUAAAAGUUCAACCGUAUGAACUUAUCUGGGCCAAUUUGUAGGAGUUGCAAUAUUUCAGGGACUAGUUUGAUAUUUUCUCUUCUCCACGUUUAUCUUCGGAUUCUCGAUUUAUAAUAUAAUUUUUUUCCAUUCAUUAGCAUCUAUUUUAAUACUAAUUCACUUCACAAUUUAUUCCCUUUAAUUUUGAAAAUUACACUUUUAUCCUAAAAUUUACAAUUGUUACAAUUUAGUCACUACUCAAUUAACACUUCAAUUGAAAAUUUUUUUCCUCAAAUAACACUUUAUCAAAUCAUUUUAGGCUAUUAUACAGCCUUUGAUAUUCAUAAUUUCAGUACAAAACCCCAAUUCCUAGCUUUUUGACAAUUAGGUCCUAAAAAUCAUUUUCUACUAAAAUCACUUAAUAAAAUCAUAAUAUAAUGAACUUAAAGCUUCAAAUAUAUGAUAAUUCAUCAUAAAAUUCCAGUACUUAUUCAUGGUAACUUACAAAAUCACCCAUGGAAUCAAAAACAAAUGAAUUCAAUAGUUGGACCUAGUUGUAAAAGUCACAAAACAUAAAAAUUUUCACAGAAAAAGCAAGAAUCGAACUCACAUGGUGUAAAAAUAUGAGAAACCAGCUUGUUUUAGACCUCGUAUGGCAUUUUUGCUAAUGAAUUAUGAAGAAAUCUCUAGUUUUUUCAAUUUUUCAAUUUUCUCCUUACUUUCUUGCUGAUUUUCUUGCCCAAACCGUCCAUCCCAUUUAAUUUAGUCCUAAUUGCCUUUUAAAUCCCUCAUUGUUAGUCACUUAAGCUAUUUAAUCACAAUUUAACAAAUUUUGCGCUAUUUUCAGUUUAGUCCUUUUUAAUUAAUUGACUAUCCAAACGUUAAAAUUUUCUAACGAAAAUUUUAUACUAACUCAAUGACACUCCAUAAAUAUUUAUGGCUCAGCUUAUGAAUUCGAGGUCUCGAUACCUUGUUUUAGACCCAAUUUACCUAUUAAAUUCUUUUUAAAUCACAAAAUUCACUAAUUCAAAAAUUCUUCUAAAUUCACACUUGACUCAUAUAUAUUUAUUUAUUAAAUUUUCAAGCUUACUUGUUGGAUUUAGUAAUCCCAAAUCACUGUUUCCGACACCACUGAAAAUUGGGUUGUUACACUAAAUGUAACACCCCUAACCCGUAUCCAUCGCCAAAUUAGGAUUAUAGAGCAUUACCGUACAAACGGAACAUUAAAACAUACAUUUCAUACAUCAUCGAAAACAAAUUAUAAAACAUUCAUUCACAUGCAUAUGAUCCUUAAAUUGAGCCCUCAAGGCCUUAGAAACACCUUAGAAACAAUUCAAGACCAAACUAGAAACACUUGGAAAGUUUAAGAAAAAGUUAGAAAAAUUUGACUAUAAGGGUCACACGGUAGAGACACAGGCCCGUGCCUUAGGCCGUGUAACAAUCGAAUUAGGGGCACACAACCGUGUGCUAGGCCGUGUAACUACCUGACUUGCAUGCAAAGGAACCUACAUGGGACAUACGGCUGUGUCGUCAGGCCGUGUGUCACACACGACUGAGUCAUACGCCCUGUCUCAGGUCGCGUGGACAUGAAAUUUGCCCAAAAUCAAGCCAUUUCUACACCAAUUUAUGAAAAUUUUGUGCACACUAUUAAGGCAUCAAAACAUACCUAAAGAUACAUAUAUUUGUCAUUCCACAAGCAAAUCACACCUAGCCAACCUAGUCAUUUAAACAUGCUUCAAUGAACAUAACCAUCAUCCACCACUAUACAAGCAUACCAUUUUAAUGUCCUAAAAUAAACCAACCAAUGUCUCAUUCAUAGAUAGCACAAUUAUGUCCAAACAUCAUCAACUAAAACAUGUCAACAUUGAUCCAUUCCUUGCAUAGCAACUUAAUCUAAUCAUAAACCAAAACAUACCACAAGUGUUCACUUUCAUACCAUUCUAAUUAUACCAAAAAGAUACAUAUUUACAAGCUUAAUAAAACACCUAAUAACGUAGUUUAGUAUAGUAUCAAAUUGUACCAAAACAACAUAUUUAGCCACAUAUACAUGCCACUACCUUAAGAGACACAAGAACUACCAACACUGAUUGAUAGUGUGAGCCGAAAGUUCGAUCCAUCCAAAUUUCAACAACACAAUCUACAAAACAAUCCACAUGAACGAAUAAGCUUAUAAAGUUUAAUAAGGACACAAUAUAUCAUUUAAUCUAACAAUAAUUGAAUACAAUUCAUUUAUUAUUCGAUUCAAGGUUACUGGGGUGCAAAAGUGCAUCCAGGGCACCAAAGUACAAAAAGGGGCACGUAUGUGCAAUUUAGAAGUACGAAGUACAAACAGGGGCAUGUAUGUGCAAUUCAGGGGUAUUGAAGUACAAACAGGGGCAUUUACGUACAAUUCAGAUGUACCGAAGUACAAACAGAGGCACGUAUGUAAAAUUCAUACAAUAAAUUAACUAUAAGCAUUUAAUCAGUAACUAUAAUAUGAAAAUACAAGUAGAGAUUCGAUUACAUAUUGAAAUAUUAUGGACUUACCUUGACGACUAGAGCAUAGAAAUAUGAUUGAGCUAAUAUUUGAUUUUCGUCUUUUCUCGAUUUAGAUCCGGUUGAGAUUUAUCUUGAUCUAAAUAAAUAAUUAUAUUCAGUUAAGUGUUCCAAUAAAUCCCAAACAUUCAAUUCAAUCCAUAUUUCACAUUUAUGCAUAAUUACCAUUUUGCCAUUAACAUUUUAACUUUUCACAAUUUAGUCGUUAAGCUUAUAACUUAAAAUCUAACUAUUUCAAUCAAAUUCCAUGCUCAUCAAACAUUCAAGGGACCUUAAAAAUACUCAUAUUUAUCACUUUUUCAUAAUAAAACCCUAUAAUUUAUACCUUUAACAAUUUAAUCCCUAAUUCUAAAAUUCAACACAAAUCACUUAACAAAACUUGUUUAUUUUUCAACAAGGACUCAUGAUCUAUCAUUAAACAUCAAUAAUCAUACAAAACCAUUAAUGUAAUAACCCUCAAUAUUUAACAAUUUUACAAAUUAAUCCCCGGGCUAACUAGAUUACGCUACAACGAUCUCGAAAACAUGAAAAUUAUUAAAAACGAGACUCAAAAUCAUACCAUGCAAGUGAAUUAACCCUAGCCGAAUUCAAAGCUUCCUCUCCCAUGUCAAUUCUGUUUGAAACAAGAAAGAAAUAAGGAAUAUGACAUCUUUUCUUAGAUUAAUUUUAACUUUAAUUACCAAUUAACUUUUUACCUUUUAAAAACAUUCAAGAUUUCAAUAAAACCUUGCCAUGAAUAUCCACUAACUAUAGAAAUGGUCUAAUUACCAUAUAAUUCCAUUCACUUUAGAUUUUUAUAGUUAUUUAGCUCGUUUAACUAAUGGAACUCUACUUUUACACAUUUUAUAAUUUAGCCUUUUUUACUUAAUUAAUCACACAAACAUCAAAAUUUAUUAACGAAAUUUUAAUACGACUUUACUAACAUCCCAUAGACAUUAAAAUAAUAAUAAAAUAAUAAUUUACUUGUCAAAUUUGUGGUCCCAAAACCUCUGUUAUGAUUUUAUUGAAAACGGGUUGUUACAAAUUUAUCCAUUUUUAGUUAGGGUUUAAGUAUAAAUUAUGUUAAUUGAUAGUUGAAAUAUUAAAAUAUUAAAAUUAUGUGUAUUAAAAAUUAAUAUAGAGUUUAUGAGAAGAUUUCAAGUAUUAAAUUGUACAAUAAAAUUUGACAUUUUCAUAAUGAUGGUAGAAUGACAAAAUUGAAGAGAAGGCAAAUUAUGUCUUGAUAUUUCUAUAUAUGUGGGAAGGUAAUAUUUAAAGAGGUUGUACAAAGUGAUUAAGUUACUAGAACUAAAUGUUUAAUCAAAUUACAAGAUUGUAUAAUGUUUGCAAUAAGAAGGACUGAAUUGUGAAUAUGGAAAACUAUGUACCAUUUAUCGACUAAAUGUUUUUUUCAAAUAGUAAAAAUUUCAACCCAUGUAGACGAGAUAAGAACUAUUAGGAUAUAAAUUGCAUGCCAUUAAGGAUAUUUAGCGCGCCCACUGUUCUAAAAUUCACUUCAGUGCCCGUUGUUCAGUUUAACACUACAGUGCCCACUGAUAUGAUUAUGCUCUUUAAUGCAUCUUAUAUUCAUUUCAUAUGUCCUAAUUUGUUCUGCUAAGUAUACAUCGGGCAAUGAUAAGAAAUGUGGUUUAUACAGGAAAUUUUGUGUAAUAAUGUACGUAUUGAAAAUAAAAGGGUUGAUUGUGUUGAUUAUAAGUAUAAAUUAUUGUAUAGAAGUAUAUUUCAAGUUAUUAAUGAAAUUUGGAAAUUUUAAUUCUUUAUAGAAUUCUUUUUGUACUUAUCAAGUCUUCGUAGAUUUAACGCAUUUAUUUUUCAACGCGUAGGUACAAUAGAUUCCGUCAGGCUUAUAUCGAGGUUGAAGGUAUCCCAUCUCAUCACCACUUCAAGUGUCACUUGAGUAUGUAUAAUUUUUGGAGUUAGUAUGACAUGUACAUAGGUUCUUGGUAUGGGUGAAUGUUAGAAGGGCUAAAAUGCAAACUUUGAAAACCUUGUUACUUUGGUGUUCUAAUGUAACAUCCCGAUUUUUAGUGGUGACAGAAUAGUGAUUUUAGACCAUAAAUUUUCGUCGUAUAGACUCGUAAAUAUUAUUUUUAGAAUAUUUAUAGAGUAAUUAGGGUCGUAUUAAAAUUUGAAUAAGAAAUUUUAAUGUUUGGAUGGUUAAUUAAGGAAAUUAUAUUAAAAUGAUAAAAAUAUUAAGUUAGUGUUGGACGACAAUGAUAUUAAAAUGAUAAAAAUAUUAAGUUUUUAAUGGCAAAAUGGUAAUUAUAAUGAAAUUAAAUAACAAAUAGUAAAACAAUACCUUUCUUCUUCAUUUCCACUUCUUUCAUAACCAAAAUUGUCUUGAAAUGGUGGCUUGAGAAUCGGCUAAGCAUAGAAACCUUGCAUGUAAGUGCAAUUCUUGCCUUUUUUUUGUAAUUUUUAUAUUUUUGAGAUCGUUGCAACUAAGUCCAACUAGUCCGUACCUUCAUUUUUGAAUCUGUUAAAAAUUUUGGAAGUUUCUAUUGAUGAAUAUUGAAUUUUUUUUAUGAAUACCAUGUAUUUGAAGCUUUGAUUGUGUUGUUUAAUGAUUUUGUAAAGUGAUUUUUGUUAGAUUUUGAUUUUAAGAUUAAAUUGUGAAAAUGUCUAAAUUUUAGGGUUAAUUUGAUGAAUUUCGGGUUAAGGGGCUAAAUUGCAAAAAUAUAAAAGUUUGGGGUAAUUGUGUAAUUUUUAAAAAAAUAUUAGGGUAGUAAUUUUAAAAUAGAUUGGAAUGAGAAAUUUAAGCUGAUAAUUGAGAAAGUUUAUAUUUUAGAUCAAGAUAAAGUAGAUACUCGUGAAAAAUAAAAAAUUACAGAAUAGUCCCUAAACUUCUGCAGCUAUUACAAUUUAAUCCAGGUAAGUUCGUAUGGUUUAAAAUUUAACAUCUAUAUGAAUUAUUGAAUGGUACAACAUGGUACAAUAAAUAUAUUCAAUUGUUGAUAUGAUUAUUUAAGAAAUAUUAUUGAAUUUGAUGUUUGGGUUGGAUCUAACGCGGUAUAGAGUACAGUCGAGAUAUGGUGUGUUAUGAGGGAUUGGAGUGGAGAUGGAUAUCGAGUGAUGUAUAUAUAUGUUUCUCAAGUAAACUGAGAUUCAGCAUUUGUUGCGAACUCUAGUGUUAUACUCUCUGUUUGGUGUGUUUCGGAGGGACUAGCUCUUAUGAGCAUUGGUGUGUUUCGGUUGGACUAGCUCUUAUGAGCAUUGUUGUGUUUCAGUUGGAGUAGCUCUUAUGAGCAUUGCUGUGUUUUGGAGGGAAUGGCUCGUGUGAGCAUCUGGUGUGUUUUGGUUGGACUGACGAUGUACUCUUAUUCGUAAGUCGUUCUUCGAAUUGAAAAUCUCGGUAAGGUAAUUUGUUUAAUGAAUUUGAUGGAUUUUCUAUAUAUUUGAGUAUUGAAUUGGAUGUUUUUGAUUUAUCGGUUGAGAUUGCGGAUGACAGGGAACCUUCAUGUUUGAAUUGUUGUAUUUAUUUUAGUGAGAAUUAUUGUUUUAAUACGUCGAACUUACUAAGCUUUAUUGAGCUUACUUGUGUUAUUUAAUGUUCUUGUAGAUACUCAGAAGGUUGGAUUAUCGGAUCGGCACUCAAGUCACACUAUCCUACAUAAUUCAGUAGUUUUGGGAACGUUUAUUUCAAAUUAUAUGGCAUGUAAUAGGAUUGAAUGUUCAUAUUAAUGUUUUGGAUAUGUAAAUAGUUAAGUAUACUCUUGAAUAUAUUAGUUGUUUAUGGUUAAUACUCCUUUUUGGUACUUUUGGUGUCAUAUUAGUAUGAGUUAAUGUAUUUAUGUUAUAAUGCUUGUUUGAAAUGUUGUAAUGGUAUGUGAUGAAUUGGUUUCAAUAUGUCCAAGAAAUAAUAUGUUUUUGAGAUGGUAUUGAACUAGAUGUGUAUGAUUGAAAUGUGGUAAAGUAUAUAUGUUUAGGUAUGCUUGAAUGUUCGCAAUUGAGGUGCCUUGUAUGACAUAUUGGAUGAAUGAUUUUAAAAUAUUGAAUUGAUCAUUUUAUGUAGGUUUUGGUCAUGUUUUGACGCCUUGAUGAUAAGUACAAAAGGUUCUUAGGUGGUUGCAUGAUUUGGUGUUGAGAAUGGCUUGAUUUUGGGCAAAUUUAUGUCCACAGGGCCUAAGACACGGGCUUGUGACUCAGCCGACUCAGUCGUGUGUGACACACGGCCUGGCGACACGGCUGUGUGUCCCUUGUAGGUUCCAUUGCAUGCAAGUUAAGUUGUUACACGGCCUAGCGCACGAGCGUGUGAGGCUAUUUCGAAAGUUACACAGCCUGGCACACGGGCGUGUGGCUUGGUCGUGUGACCCAACUUAGAGAGUUACACUAGUAAGGACACAGGCUGGGACACAGCAGUGUGUCCCUAUUUCGAUUGUUACAUGACUUGGCCAUACGACCAUGUAACCCCUGCAAUCUAAAUUUUUUGACUUUUUCUUGAUCUUUUCAAAUGUUUUCAAUUUAGUCUUGGAUUGUUUCUAAAGUAUUUUUAGGGUCUCGUGGGCUUGAUUAAGGGACAUUAUGAAUGUAAUUGAAUGUAAUUAGACUAUGUUUGCUUUGAUGUAUGAAUUGAAUGAUUUAAUGUUUCGUUUGUCCAGUAAUGCUCCGUAACUUAUUCCAGCUAUAGAUACGAGUUAGAGGUGUUACAUAUAAUGAUAUAUUUUGUUAGUAUUUGAAAUGAAUUUAUAAGAGUUUAACAUAUGUAUGCAUAUAAGACAUUAUUAUAUGGCUUUUGUGUUGAAUUUUAAUGAGUUUGAGAUUAAUUAGACUGGUUUUGAAGUGUUGGACUAUUUUGAAAUAUUGCAAAGGUUUUUAACAAAUUUCCUAAUUGAAUUUUAACAAAUUUGACCUAAGGCAUCGAUACCAGGGGUUUAGAUAUCAAUACAUGGUAUUUAAAAUUGAAUAUUUCGAAAACAAAAUGUCAUUUUGGUAUCGAUAUCACAUUUGGUAUCAAUUUUAAAGGCAAGGUAUCCAUACCUAGGUCUAAGGUAUUGAUACCUUCAUCAAAAUUUGAAAAUUUGGAGUUCUAGAGGCCAAUUUUGGUAUCGAUACACAUCAGGGGUAUAGAUAUCUUAACAUAGGUAUCAAUACCUUAUGUUUUAGUAUCAAUACUUGACCCCUCUAUUGAUUAAAAAUCAUUUUUAAUUCAUUUUUAAAUGUACUCGAUUAACCAAUAAUGUUCCUAAAAUUCUAAAAAAAAUAUUAUCGGAUUGAUUUAAUGAAAAUUUCAUUGUUUAGUGCUCAUAAUACCUAGUGACUAGCCAAGAUCGCUUUGGCACCAAAUGUAAUACUCCUAUAUCGAGUUUCGAGGGUCAGAUCAGGUACAAGGGUGUUACAUUUAUUUAUAUCAGAGCUUAGGUUUUCUGAUGUUUGAGUCGAGAAUGAAUCUAAACGUACAUGCCAUGUAGGAUAUACCGUAGUGAUGAGAUGGGAUUUAGUUAUUUAAUUGUAAAAUUCUUAUAUAUUGUAAUUUUAAAGAUGUCAAAUAGGACUCGAGAAAGUUCUGAAGAUGAAGUAGAGAGUAGGGCUUUUAAUAUGGUUAGAGAAAGAAAUCAACGUAGAGCCCGAGUACGAAAUGGAUCAAAUGAACCUGUGAAUUUAAAAGAUGAUAGAUAAUAGGAAUUUGAAGAAAGAACACAACCAAAAAUUGAACAAGAUAAUAGAUAAAGAAAUUAAAGUAGGCCAUCACCGACGUGACUCCCUCGACACCCUAAACCGUCACUAUUUCACUCGAAUGGGCAUGGCUAGCUCAGUUGUUGUUGGUUUGGUCCAUGCCAGUGACGACCCGAUUGGUUAGGUCCAACCAUCAGUUGGACCGUCAGCGCAGUUUUAGACACAGGGCUCGGUUUAACCAAUUUUUGGGUUUCAAUCUCGAGUUUUGGUUAUUGGGUUCGAUUUUCGAUCUCAAGUCUAAAUUUUAAGUUGAAUUACCCAUUGGGCAAAUUAUCUGACUUGAAAAUUAACUUCCAAAAAUAUCGUAUUUAUUUUAAUUAAUUUGAUUAAUUUAAUUUUACUUGAUCAAAAUUAAUUUUCUCAAAAAUCAUUGAGAUUUUCCUAAUUAAAUUUUCAAUAAAAUUCUUUAAUCAAAUUCUCUAGUUGAAUAAUCUCACAACUGCCUAAUUUAUUUCCACAUAAAAUAAAUCGACUCAAUAAAUUAUUUCCAAAUUCGUAGAGUUUUCUUCUAAUUCAAAUGCAGUUCGAUCGAGCUUUUGUUGAGCUAGCAGAGGGACCAAUCGAACAUAUACAAUUAGGCUCGAGUAAUUGCAAUUAUAUCUAGGAGUAUCGUUUCGAUAAUUUGUAAUUUACUUAAUUAUGAGACCAGUCCACAAGAGUACAAUGAUUGAAAUAUCCCUAUUGUAUACUCAUUACAGAAGCAAUUCAUCGCAAUUUACUUAAUUCGGACAUAUACAAUGACCGCUUGCUCCGUUGAUACCAAGUGUUCCAUCGUCUGUUUUGGACCUUCAAGCAAUGCUCUCAAGCAUUCCAUUACUGCAAGCCAUUGGUACAAAUAGACGGUACAUUUAUGUAUGGUAGAUAUACCCAUCGGUUGUUGUUGGCUGUGUGGCACAUGAUAGUAAUAAAAGAAUCCUUCCAAUUGCGUUUGCAAUAACACCGGGGGAGUCAAUAUACGACUGAGUUUUUUUCUGUCUAGGUUGAGGAAGCAUGUUUACCCCUAACCUAAUUUAUGUGUCAUUUCAGAUCGGGGAACUGUAAUACUAUCUGCAAUUGAACGACAGGGAAGCCUCUUGGACCGCAUACACCAUCAGUAUUGUCUAAGGCAUGUUGCAUCCAACUACUACCGAAAAUAUCCCUCUAUUGUUGAGCGAGUACAAGUUACCAACAUGAGCAUGUAAUCGCCACCAGUAUUCUUUGGUUUGUAAUAUUUCAUUUGUUUUUUUUAUAUUCUUUGGUAUGUAAUCGUCAUUAUCCACUUUUAUUGACAGGGUACGAGAUCGUGAAGGAUUGUUUCCAUGAGAUGUUGCAAAUCUUAUGGUCAACUAACAAGGAGGAAGCACGGUACCUCUCUAACAUACCCUUCGAUCAGUGGACACAAUCUUAUGACGGGGUUCUACGAUAUAGCCACAUGACCUCAAACCUGGCGGAAUGCAUCAAUUCCAUUUUAAAGAAAACACAUCAUUUGCCAAUAACCUCAGUUGUGAAAGAGACUUACUUCCGUUUGGCAGAACUAUUCCUAAAGUGAAUGGCAAGUUAUGUUGGGCAAUUGUAGGGAGGCCACAUAUGGUGCCCGGAUGUGGUGAAACAAAUUAAGAAGGCUAAGACACAAGCAAACUACAUGCACUUAGUGUGGCACUCACGCGAAGACGUAUGGUUUUGGAUAAUGUAGUUCGACAGGCCGAACCAAGGUAUUGCUAGGGGAGUGUACCAUGUACACCUGAGAAAUAGGACUUACGACUAUAGGAGAUUUGACAUACUUCAUUUUCCAUGCGCUCAUACAAUUUUAGCUUGUAGCAAUCAACGCUUAGAUCCUAUGAGUAUUGUGGACGAAGUGUACAAAUGAGAAAACUUGUACAACGUGUGAAGACCCAAAUGAAAGUAUGUGACCACUUGUAUUGAACGCUCCGUUUAAGUUGUUACCUAAUAGAAGAUUGCGUCAUAGACCAAAAGGUCGACUGACAUCGAUUCGAAUAUGCGACAACAUGGAUAUUCAAGAUAGGUCAAACCAACUGAGGUUAUGCGGGUGGUGUAGGAACCCAGGCUAUACAUUGUCGUUAUGUCCACAUCGAAAGGACUAUGCAAACUAGAAAAUAAAUAUCAAUUCCAUUAUUAUAUGUAAACACGUGGUUCUAUGAAAUGAUAACAAAUAUCAGCUUUUCAUUUUGUGAAUUUAUAACAAAUUAUAACUUUAAUUUUGUAAAAUGAUAACAAAUAUCAAUUAACAUUUUGUUAAAUGAUAACAAUAUUCCUCUAAAAAUAUAAUAAUAAAAAUCAUCGAUACAAUAUAAAUGUUUGAUAGAAGGAUAAAAUUACAAUAUAAAUGUUCGAUAGAAGGAUAAAAUUAAUCAAUGCAUAUAUUGAUCAGAAUUUGUGCCACAUCGGGGUGGACGAUGGUUAUGUGCUAGAUUUCUUCUUAGUUCAGCCUUCGGGUAAGGUUAUGGUUGUUGCGGUUGUGGUGGUUGUGGUCUCGGUAGCUCCUCUUAUUCACCUUCAGCUGAUUGCGAUCCUUGUAUUCUCGGUUGUCAUCGUACAUCUUUCGGUCUAGGAAUAGGUGGUUGGAAAGAUGACCCAGCUUGGUAGAACAAAGAUCUCGGAGGUGUUUGCGUCAUAAACGAUGAAUGAGCAUAACUAGGUUGAGUCCCAUACACCGAUGGGAUAACGAAUGGACUCUCCGUCGGUGCUUGAAACAUAGACGACCUAUACAUCGUCAUCGGCAUCAUCAAAAAAGUAGAUGGCACAGAUGUAGAAAAAUAGAAAAAUACGAUGCAACAUAUAGUGCUUGUGUGAAGAUGAUAGGGUUAGAAUAUGCACCAGAAUAAGACGGUACAUACUGAACGGAGGGUGGUGUGGGCAUCGGUGCUGAGGCCGUAGGUGCCAAUUCUUGUGUGGGCGUUGAUGAUGGACCCACCUCGCUAGCCUUUGGAUUUAAAGAGGGUCGUCGUGGCUUACUCGUAUGGGGAUGUCAACGCAUUGCCUCUUCCUCGUACAAAUAUGGUUUCUCAUGAAUCUUAAACCAUGGCAUGUACUCCAGAUUGCAUGCUAACUCCGAAACAAUAAAAGGUUCACGAGUAGGUAAAAAAUCAUACUGACUAUUACACAUGUUGCUAUGUUGGCAGUGGAAUACCAACCAAUUCUCAUCUGGCUGCCGCAAGUUGAUAGGAUGCAGAUUAUCAAGGUCUUGAGGUGCCAUGGAAAUCGACUAUCAGAAUCUGAACUGUCACAACACUUUAUCCGUCCCGUACAUCUUGACGGUAGCAUACAGUACCAAUGGGACCUUCACGUGCUAGGCAUUAGGAUUCACAAAGAAUUCCUCGAGGAUUACUUCUCGAAUUUUCGGAUCCUCGUAUGGUGUCCAUUCAAACUAUAUUAACAUGAUAAAAACAUUAGUUAUAUAUAAACUACUAAAUACAAAAUCAACUACGUUAUUUGUAUAUAGUUCAAAAUUAAAUAAAUACAUACCUCCGCUUCUGAUCGUUGGUCUAAUAGAAGCCACAGUAGUUAAUCCUACAUAACAUGGUGCAUGAUUCCACCUAUUUAAAUAACUUCUUAGCAUAAUAAAUUUAAUUUAAAUCAAUUUAAUCAUGGUAAUAUCUACUGAAUUUUACCUUGUUACGAAUGGGAAUGUAUACGAGUAGUUUGCUCGAGGACGAAAAAUAGAAAUCAAAAUCGAGCCCAUGAUUGUAGCACUAAAAGGCAACCACCAAUUUUGAUUUUUCCUGGUUACGUCGCCCGACACAUCUCCCGAUACAAGGUUGCCAACACAACGGACCCCCAACUGAGUUCACCCACUCCUCUAAAAUUGAUGAGUUUCAGUAGUCACCUUAGAUGGACGAGGUUUCGUGACUUAUCUGGCAUCAGGAUACCCCCGAUGAUUUGAAUGAUGUAUGCCCAAGCAUAUUGUUCUCUUUGGACUUCAGUUGAAUCCUUAUCCAACCCCGUGGAAUUUUUUUUGUAUCCAAGCUAUUUCGAUCCAACCUCUGUAAAUCGUCUCCAGAGCCGCACCCAAAAGAUCACCNNNNNNNNNNNNNNNNNNNNNNNNNNNNNNNNNNNNNNNNNNNNNNNNNNNNNNNNNNNNNNNCCCCAACUGUAAAUGUACGUCCUCUAGAGUGAUAGUACACUCGCUGCAUAGAAGAUGGAAUGUGUGCGUCUCGGGUCUCCACAUUUCCACCAAUGCGCUUAUGAGUUUCGGGUCCAACUUACACCCCCGACCUACAAGGGCCACGUGCCAAAAUCUGGCUUCCCUCAAGUAUGUUUCGAUCAAUAGUGAUAGAAGACCGGGUAGAUUAUGAAUAUGGCAUUGUAAAAUUCAAUCUUCUACCUAUUUACAUUAAAAAAAAUAUUAAGUUAAAAUAUAACAAUGAAAUAAAAAAAAUAUCAAACAAGAUUGAAAUUUAUUAAAAUUUAUUCUCACCGUUUGCAAUUAAUUGACGAAGAUAUGCUUGUUAUCAAGACGGAUUAGAGAUCUAGCCAUUGUUAAUUAUAUAGAACACGAAAUAAUUUUAAUAAAAAAAUAUUUCUUGAAAAUAUUAAUAAAAAAUAGAAUUUAGAUAGAAAUAGAAUUUUAGUAAAAAAAUUUAAGAGAGAAUUUGAGAGAAAUUUGAAAGAAUUUUGAGAGAAUGUUGUGAGAAAUUAGUAGGGGAUAUAUAGUUUUUUUUUACUGUUGGGGAGGGGGCAACGACUAUUUAAAAUAGCCGUUGGAAGUGACCAUUGGGAGGAAAACGCGCUGAGCUGGACACGUUUUUCUGAGUUUUCUCUGAAAAUGUUUCCAACUGGAAGCGUUUUAUCAAAAACGACCCAUUCCUAUAAUUUUUCAAAAAUUCAAUAUAUUUCCUUAAUUUAAAAAAAUGAGUUUUUAUUUUUGGUAAUUUAGCCUAUAAAUGAAAAGACUUGCACUUUGAUUCUAAUUUUAUCAGUUGAUUCGGUUUUCUAUUCUCUAACUUUUUCUUCCUUUUCCUCUUUCCUAUUUUCUCGACUUUCUAGGAUGAACGCAAUCCACUUUCCCUCAAACCCGUUAUUUUGAAGAACUGGUUGUACAGAUGUCUUAUUCACGUCUAAUUUUAAAGCCCCUAUACUUCCUUUCCCUUUGAUCUUUAGUUCCGACAUCAAAAUAAAGUUGUCGUUAAUUUAUGAAGAGACAAUUUCACUAAGAAUGGACUUAAGCAGCUAAAUUAUUGUACGGACUGCUAGAGCGAAAUUGACUGGGCAUUUUAGACUCCGUUUGUUUCAUUCAAGAAAAUCAACUCAGUCAAAAGAUUUUACAAGUCAACGGAAAAACGGUUACUUUUUCUGUAAGACGUUUUACAUUCUUUUCUUCUCCCACGCCUCCUCUGCCAUUCUCUCAUUCUCUUCGAUAACUUUUUCUCCCCUCAUCUUUGAUAUCUUCUUCUUUUUCCUUUUUUUCCCUUUCUUUUACCUAAUUGCUUCCCAAAUGUCUUCAGAUUGCUUGGGACUUAUAUCAAAUUUGGCGAAUAAAUUUGUGUCACGGCCCAAACCCUGGUUUGCUCUUUCCUCUUUUAACUUUCCAAGAUUUUUCAUGUGUAUGUUUGUGGAAUUUAUUAAUAUACAGAAAUAGAGAAGUGAAAACUGAAAAGAAAAGUUGGAUUUAAUCCAUUUAUGGCUUGCUGCUCUGCUUUAAUAUCUGUUGCUUGGCUGCUUAGUACUUAAUUGGAUAAUGAAUAAUCUUCCAUGAUCCCAUGUAUUAUAUAUAUUAGUGAUAAACAUGACAAUGCUUGCUAGUACUGCUAAACAAAGGGGAGAUUGGCAUGAAUGUCAAAUGUUUGGUAAUGAAAAGAGCAAAGAUGUAGGAUAUGUCUACUUCAACUGCUUACUUUGUGGGAUCUGAACAUUUUCUUAGGUUCUUUGUGUGAAUGGUGGAAAAGAAGUUACAGAUAUAGGUAUGUCAAUGGUAGAAAAGAAGUUACAAAUAUAGGUAUUUUCUGAAGCUUAUAUUUCCUACUCGUUAAGAUUAUAUAAAUGUUGAUAUUUUAACUAGCUUCUGCACAAAUGUUGCCUAUACAAAAUUUAUCUGUGUUGUGUUAGAUUGAACAUAAUUUCUUGAGGAGUUGUUCUGCUUUCCUUUUCUUAUGAAACUAUAUUCUUUGACUUUAAGUUGAUAGGGAAAGCUUCUUAUUUGGGCAGGUGACUAUACCGUGGCUGCCAAUGUAUAUCAGAAAAUCUUGGAAAUAUGGCAUGCUUAUGGAUGUUACCAAAAAUUGCAAUAAAACUUUGCAUUAGUUACUAUAGCAGUUUGCCAUCUUCUUCAAGCUUAUCAAUGUGAGCUUCACUUUGUUAUACCUCUUUUUUUAUUUGUACUUUGUAUUAACAAAAAAUAUAAUGCAUGAGGCAAAGGACCUAAGUAUCUAGUGAUUGAAUUUGAAACUUGAGAGUCUAAGAAGAUUGUCUAUCAUAUAUUUUCAACUAAUGGCAUGAGUUUGAUGGUCUUUUUCAUUGUACGACUAUGUAAUUAGGUGCCUAAAUUUUACCAUUUUUUUGCCUAAAAAAUAUAUAAAGUUGUAUAUAUAUAAAGACAGUUCUGGUUAUGAUGCUGAAAACCCCUUACAUUGUUGUCAUGGCUUGAAAAAAAUGCAGGCUUUAAGAAUGGGAAUGCUAUAUGUUUUCAGACUUUUGAUGGUCAGGACCUCUACUGAAGAAGUAAAUCUAUCACGGGAAAGGGGAGCAGGGAAGUUAAGCUCAUUACUAGUAGAGAAACCCUGCUAGAGACUUCUUGAAGAGGCUUUACCCUAUGUUGUAUAUGGAAAAGAGAUGGAAUGCUAAGAAAAAUAUUUACGAACUACGUUGUUCGUAUUCAUUGGAGACUAAUGCUGAUUGUGGAGGAUACUAAAAGUUUCCUCUUCAAAGCUCAAGAACACUAGAGUCAAAAGGAAGAUAAUUGAAAAGGCUAUAGCUGCCGGAAGAGAUGACAAUACUUUUCUAUGGCCUUGAGUCUCAUUGUUUAAUGUUUUCCUUUGCUUUUUUCUGUCUAAUUGUAGGACUAAUGACUUUCUUUGUUUAUAUAAAACAAUUUUAGAUAUCCAUGAACUAAUUAAUUAUUUUAGAUUGAUUAUGAAACAAAACUUCUCAAAUUAAUAUUAUUUACUGAUUUAUAAUUAAUACUUGAAUACCUUUUUCAGUUCAGAAAACAUUUUCAUUGUAAAAUAAUUUCAAGAAAAUAAACCAACUAAUGAAUAAUGUUUUACACAAAAGCAUUCAAACAUUAAAAAGAAUAUCACAUUCCAGAAAAUCAUUCAAUUUUCCUGAAAAGCCUUUCUGUUGAUAGAAAGGCUAUUUAAAAUCAUAAAAAUUAAGAUUGUUAAUGAAUACAUUUAAAUGUUGGAAUAAAUAUAAAUAUGUACUAAGUGUAGUUUAAUUACUGUAUCUUGCCGACUAAAGAGUUAGCCAAUUGGUAGCGACACAGUCUUCUCAUAAUUUUUGUGAAGUGAAUAUUUGCAAGAUAAUAAUAAUGUUCAAACAUAGCAAAGAAGCUUGGAACUUGACAAGAACCCAAGGCUAGGCUAGGCUAGGCUAGGCCAGACAUGAAUUUUCUUCUAACAAAACCAAAGGGAGCAUCACUAUUCACUCCACUCGCUAUGUUCUAAAUUAAAAAAAAGUUUCUAAAAUCCUUGAUCUGUUAGGAUGCGAAGGCCGAAAGUCCUCCAGCCGCAAACAGGAGCUACCUCUAAUUUCAUUCAACACACUUUCUCCUUUCUCCGUUUUAAUCAUCCCCAAGGUGCUUCCCAUUACAUCCCCGCCCAGCCCUAUUUCCACUAUCUGCCCUGCUUCCUCCCCACCCUCCAGUAUUAACCGCCCUAUCUCCUUCAUACUUAUCACAUCUUCCACUACCAUUUUCCCAAAAAUACGUCCCAGAAAUUCUGGAGCUUUUGGCGCAUCGUUCACAGCAUCCUCCAAUGUACUCAGGACAGAUUCAAACCUGAAUAUAACACAACAUCAAUAUCAUCACUUCAAAAUGUUAUUAUAAUCAAUCAUUACAGUGAGAUGGCUUUAUAGUCUUAAAUGAUCCUCUUACCCUUUAAUAAGUUCAGCCUGGCUCAAUACACCAUCAUGGGACCUUGUCAGGUUGACAAGUAGCUUCGCCAAAAGAUCCCGUUCCAUGUCUUUUCUCUCAAAACAGUCCGUUACCCAUAGUGCAAUCAUUGUUGGAUGGAAGCUUGUAGAAUUCAAAUCUUUGAUGCACAAAACAACUUCUUUCUCAUCUCUAGCGCUGUUUCAAUUAUGACACAAAAUUGCCAAUUACUUCAUAAAAGUAAUCAGGUAACACCUAACUACAGCAAAUAUAGAUAUGCAGCAUAACUCCUUAAAAUUUACCACAACACUCACUACUUUGUAUUUUAAAUCAACCCAUCAAUAUCAUAUUACUAUCAUACUCUGAGCAAAAGACCCUUCUAAGGUCAAAUUUAUGUGUUCGCACAUAUAUACACAUCUUCUUAUGGGAAACAAGUCUAAUAUAACAAACUCUAAAAUCAAAUGAGCCAAGAGGAUACCUAUAAAAUUCUUUAAUUGCCUCCAUGGACAUAUCACGCAGGCGCUCCUCAGACCAGCCCUUUUCAGGAGGAAUAUUUUGACUGAAACCAGAUGAUUGGGCUUGUGUGGAAGGUGAAGCUGCAAGAGGUCUAACAAUGCUGCGAUCCGGGGUCCUCGAGUCCCUAUUACCAAAAUUUAUGCCCCGUUCCUGGGAACUUGGCUGCUCAUAAGCAGCUGUUGGUGCAACCCUAUCAGUUCCAAAUCUCGGCAUGAGAUCCUCUCUAGGACCAUAAGUCGUUCGCUCUGAUACAGAACUAAAACCAUUUGAUCCAGCGGUUCUUCUUGAAUCUCCAGAAAUUGGAGAAAUAUUAGCUAGGGGAGUACUGGACAUUACAGAUGGUCCUCUAAAAGACAUCCCUCUACCAAGGCCACCCUGGGGGCCCAAAGUAAUAGAAUCGUCACCAGUUGGUCUUUGAGGCAAGGGAACCGAUAGAGUCCUAGACUCCAAAGACUGUCUGUCAUCCAUGCGAACAUCCUGAGCCCCAAAACCAUGGGGUUGACCCUGCAGCCCCCGGAAACUACUCAUUUGAGAAACUGGAGAAGAUAACAUUGGCCCUCGUGGACUAAAAUCCAUGGGUGCUCUUCUUGCAGUAGCAUUGAAGCCAGGACCACGAGCAAGCCUACCGGAUUGUGCUUGUCGCUCUUGAGCAGCAUCUCUGUGCACUUCCUCAAUCUUUUUAGGCCCUUCAACUUUCCUCCUCUGCUGCCAUUUAUUCUUUCUCAGAUCAAUAGCAUCCCUCAACAUGAACCUGAUCCUAGAAGACAAUUUCAUAUUGUUCGACAACUUCGCCAUCCUCUCAAAAUAAGCAUCCAUAUGCACCUUUGCCUUAGGAUGGUCAAUCAUUUCUCCAAUCGUACUCAUUAAUUUGCACAAUGCCUCGACAUCUUCCUCAUCAGGAUUCUCGUAUUCACCAAGUAGUUUCUUGAUGCAUUCAUGCAUUAUUCUCUCAGUUAACAUUUUCUUCUUGUACAACUCCCCAAUAAGUCUAAUGUUACCUAACAUUCGUCUUCGAGCCUUGAUUCUCUUCUCCUCUCUUUCCUCCUCAGACAGCUUAGCCUCACCCUCUUCCUCUAUUUUAUUUGCUUCUUCUUGCUCUCUCUCCCCUCUCUCAAAUUCCUCCUGGCACUUGUUCAGCAGCAAUCUCUUGAAAGUUAUCUUUUCAUUGUUCUCGAUAAAAUCAGGCAACUCCCCAGCCAGACACUGGCAGAAGUUUGCAUACAUUUCACAAAAAGUAGGCUCCAUCAAAGCUUUGUCAAAUAUCUGUGAGAUGACACCAGUGAGUGUAACUGCAUUGUCAAUGUUAACAGCUUUUACUUGCUCAAAGAGUUUCUCAAAAUUUUGAGGAGUUAGCUUGUUCAAAAUGGACUUCAGCUGCCUUUGCUUGGCUUCUUCCUCAUCAGUCACUUUACCCACUUGAUACUUCCUUUCAGCUCUGUGCAUUGUCUGCAAUGGAGUUUGUGGAGAGGGAAUUAAACCCUUCUGCUGAUACAUAACACCACGAUGCCACCUGUCAGCAUCAGGACCACUGUGUUGCAUCCCUCCAUGUGGACUCAUAUGCAGCAUUUGCCCACCAGGGACCCCUCCGAGAUAUGGAAGAGGUGUUUGCGCCCACGGGUGCCUUAGAACACCAAAGUUACCUCCUUGGACAGGCCGAAAACCUGCAACAGCACCAUAACCAAGAUCAAGUCGCAGAUCCCUUCCAGGGCCGAAAGGACCAGGUGGUCUCAUCCAUCUGUCAUCAUCAACAAUUCCACUAGCACGGCGAUCUAAUCGAGAUCCACUAGAUUGCCUAUCUAAUUUUCUUCCAGGACUUGGGUAUGAAUCAUGAUCAACAGCAUGAGAUGCAUUGACAUUUGCAGCCAUCA